rnacentral:rRNA from 1 species
ACUACUAUAGCUACUAAUAGCGUAGCGCGGAUAAACUAAGUUAUACUAAGUAAGGAUACCGAUUAAAUUUUAAUAGGGCGUAGAGAUUUUGUAGAAUCUCUAGGGACUAGCUACUAUUUUUUUUAAGACUAUGCUAGUACUCUAAAUUAAGGGAAAAAUACUAGCUAACUUAUAGUAGCUAAGCGUUUAUAGCGACGCUGCUUUUUAAUCCUUCGAUAUCGGCUCUUCCUAUUAUACCGAAGUAGAAUUCGGUAAGCGUUAGAUUGUUUACCUACUAAUAGGGAACGUAAGCUAGGUUUAGACUAUCGUAAGAUAGGUUAGUUUUAACCUACUAAUAACCGUCGUCCUAAUAGUAAUACUACUUAGUAUAAGAGGAACUAUAGUUUUAGAUAAUUAGUUUUAAUAGCUAUCCGACCGGGUAGUACUAUAAAGCUACUAUCUACUAGAUUAUAACUAAACGCCUCUAAGUUAGAAUCUAUGCUAGAACGGGACGAUCCUCUCUAGUACGCCUUAGGCGGAUAAGAAUAGGUACUACUAGUACCUAGGACCCCUUUAGUCCCUAUAAGAUACGUAGGGGCAAUAGGCGUAUUAUAAUAUUAUCGCGCGCUAGGAUAAAUAUAGCUACUCGUAUCGACUAUAAGUUUAAGAAUGUCGCCUACCUUAGGGAAGAGUUAGAC